AUUGAACGCUGGCGGCAUGCCUUACACAUGCAAGUCGAACGGUAACGCGGGGCAACCUGGCGACGAGUGGCGAACGGGUGAGUAAUGCAUCGGAACGUGCCCAGUAGUGGGGGAUAGCCCGGCGAAAGCCGGAUUAAUACCGCAUACGACCUACGGGUGAAAGGGGGGGAUCGCAAGACCUCUCGCUACUGGAGCGGCCGAUGUCAGAUUAGGUAGUUGGUGGGGUAAAGGCCUACCAAGCCUUCGAUCUGUAGCUGGUCUGAGAGGACGACCAGCCACACUGGGACUGAGACACGGCCCAGACUCCUACGGGAGGCAGCAGUGGGGAAUUUUGGACAAUGGGCGCAAGCCUGAUCCAGCCAUGCCGCGUGCGGGAAGAAGGCCUUCGGGUUGUAAACCGCUUUUGUCGGGGAAGAAAUCUUCCGGGCUAAUACCUCGGGAGGAUGACGGUACCCGGAGAAUAAGCACCGGCUAACUACGUGCCAGCCGCCGCUGUAAAAC
rnacentral:rRNA from 1 species